GCGGUUUUAGCUCAGUUGGGAGAGCGCAUGACUGAAGUUGAAACUUCGGUGUUUGAAUAAAUAUCAUGAGGUCACCCGUUCGAUCCGGGUAAACCGCA